rnacentral:lncRNA from 1 species
UGAAUUCAAGCAUCCAAAAGGCAAAGGUGACAUUGGCAAUUGAAACUGCGGCUGUUCAUGUGCCUGUGGCGCUACCAUUCCCGCUGACUGCGAGGGAUUUAUUCCUUGUUGCUGGGGCGGGACGGGAAAUUGCUGCUUUGAAGCUGUUUGAUUGUCCCAUCUAGAUGAAACAAGCGGUGCCAGCGGCGAGAAUCCCGAGAACUGCUUGUUAGAAUCAACAGCCGAGAUCGUGUUCUGGAGAUACCGCAUGUAAGCAGAAACUGGC